CCUUGUUUAACAAUCCCAUUGUUUAAACAAAGAUAGAAAGCAGUAGGGUUUUUUGAAAGUUCUUUUAUAUUUACUGAGUAAACUUAUUGAUAGAUGAUUUUUUAAAAAUGAAAACUGUCAUCUGCCCUGAAAUUCAAAGCCAUUCAGUCCAUCUGUGCACUUAUGUUUUAGGAUAUAGCAAAGGAAGAAAAAAAAAUGUAGUGGGCAAAAGAAAGAUGGUGAAUGACAAUACAGUGUUUUUAGAAGUUUCAGUCACUCAUUUAUUGCAUGCUAGGAUCUUUUCUAGGCUCUGGGGAUACAAAAAGAAUUGGGAGAGGGUCCUAGCCAUUUUGGAGCUCACAGUCUAAUAAGGGAGACAGGUAGCUUAACAAGCACAUGAUACAUGCUAUAGACUGAAUGUUUGUGUCCCCACAAAAUUCAUAUGUUGAAACCUAAUCUUCGUGUGAUAAUAUUUGAAGGUAGGGUCUUUGGGAGGUGAUUAGGCCAUGAGGGUGGAGCCCUCAGGAAUGGGAUUAGUGCCCUCAGAAAAGAGGCUCUAGAGAGCAACCUCACUCCUCCUGCCAUCCAUGGGAGAAGACGCCCAUCUAUCAACCAGAAAGUGGACACUCACCAGCCAUGAACCUGUCAGCACCUUGAUCUUGAACUUCCCACCCUCCAGAACUGUUAAGAAAUAAAUUUCUUUUGUUUAUAAGCCA